CUGUACCUGGGUGCAGGGGUAGGAUCUGGGCUCCUUGUGCUGCUGUUACUGUUGAUAGGAGGAGUGCUGAAGUGUCUGCAAUCCAAACGAGACCCUGCUGUCCAGAUUGAACCUAUGUAUGCCACAGUGAAUAAGUCCAAGCAGCCUUCAAAGCAACAGGACGACACCCUCACCUACUCAGAAAUAAACACUGCCCGUGUCACCAAGAAGAAACCCAGAUCUGAACCUGAAGACAAUGUAACGUACGCAACAGUUAAAACUGCCAGAUACUGAGAACCACUGGAAAAAAACUGCUUGAGUGUUUGAAAAAUACCUGAAUAGUCAUUGCAUUAAAAUGGUCUUUCCCUUUUAUCUACAUACUCUCUGCUUUCAUAGGAAUGGGAAAAUAACUGGAAACUGCAAAAUUAAAGUGCAACCAUUAGUAACUUUUUAAAACUGUUGAAAGAAGGUCUUGAAUGAUUCCUGGUCUAUCAUUUUAUAUUCAGUGUGUGUCAGGUUAGAACACAUAUGUGAAGUUUAAUGGGCUCAACUUAACCACCCACCCUAAAUCAAGCAAUUCUGCAAAACUGCCAGUGUGCUUGAGAGAGGCCCAGGACUGAAAGUUCUUUCCUUUCAAAAUAAAAGCUUUGAGAACCUAAUCUGUUCUAUUAUGAAUGAAAGUCAGUAGUAAUUCUUAUUUCAUGUUUUUCAUGUGGUUUCUGUUCAUACUGUAAAACAAUUACAUUUAUUUUAAUAACCAGCAGUGGGUUACACAGACCCCAGUUAGCAGCACUGCUAGAUUAUCUUACCUAAGGGACACAGGUAGUCCAUGAUUAGUGCUAAUGUGAGUCUAAACAAUCAACCACAUCUCUGAGCUACAGCCCCUUCAGCAUUGCUCUGUAUGUAUUUAAAUUCAUUGUUAUAAAGUGCACAAUAUGUAUUUGUGUGGUUGUGUUGUCUCUUAUCUAUGAUCUCAGCUCACUGUUUUUUUUUUUCAUCAGGGCCAUCACCACCGGACAUGUUUUGUAUUGAUGGUCUUUUAUCAUUUCUGUUUUAAAUACUGUGGUUUGCUUAAGCAAGGUUCUCUGUCAUUCUUGUCACCUCGCUGCACAUGCUAAAAUUAAACACUGCAUACGCCUUGCACAGUGAGGCUGUGAGUAGCAUUGGCUUUCUCAUUCUUCUGUCUAACGGCUAAAAAUAAUUCAUUUCUGUUAGUGUAUUAGUCACGUCUAUUUCACCUCAGCCACGCAUUGCCUGCUUUGUUGUUUCAGAGUCAGGGGUGCUGAACCCUGCAUCUGGUCUCAUUGCUGUGUGCUGAGCUGCAUGCACAGCGUGUACCUAACUGUUGUGAUCCGCCUGUUCCUCAAACUGUCACUAAGUCCUGGAGGUCAUUGUCCCGCAGCUAAACCUAGUGACAAAGGAUUGUUAUAGACACAAGAAUGGAACAUUGGAUUGUAUCCACUAGCCAUACAUUUGCAUUUGUUACCUUUACAACAGAAGUUAAUAAGUAAAGGCAUUGAAAGGAAUGUGUGUCUGAAUGCUUCUGAUUCUGAAGUGUAGUUAAGUGUUCAUGUUUCAAUAUCAUUAUAAAUGUUCCCGUUCAAUAUGCUGUCCUUCUCCACUCUGCCAAUGAAUGCUUCAAAUUCAA